UGCAACUACUUCUCUUCUCUUUCUUUUUCAAUUCUGAAUCAAUAUCUAAAUCACCAUCAAAUUUUUACUAUCUCCUUUAUCAAUUGCCUAAAUUUUUUAUUAAUUUUAUCACUACUACAAUGAUGAUUUCCUCAACCGACAACAACUACUUUUCUCACCAUUACCUUGCCUUCAAUUUUGAAUCACAAAACCAUGGAUACAAUCGAAGAAAUCAGUCGUCCUUGUUAAUUGUCGGGAUCUUCCACAUAUGUGACGGCCAAGUCCACACGAAUUUUGAGGUGGAGCUAAAAAAAUUCAGAUUUACGGAUCGAUUUCCUCUCGUUCAAUAUAAUUUCCUACAUAAUCUUCCGAAAAUCCUUUCGUGAGAAAACCUAAUUGGUGAACUUGUCCAAGCCUAAAACAAAGAAGAGAAAGUGAAUCCGUGAAGUUGUUUUACGAUUUGGAUAACAACAAUGUUAACCGACAUCUUUUUUUGUAUCCGAUAUUAAUUAUGUUUUAGCAAAAC
rnacentral:lncRNA from 1 species